AGAAGUUUGUAAGAAACUGAUUAAUUUUCCAAAAAGAUUUUUAAUUAUAGUAAUAUAAUGUACCACAUGCUGAUCAGAGGGAUGUAAUUCCAGAGUCAAGUAAAGCCACAACUUACACAACAGUGUUCAGAUCAUCUUUUUUCCUGACAAAAUCAAUAUAAUGCAAUAUUUCUAUCUGCUGAAUGUAAGCUUUUCCAUAUUCCAAGCUUGCCUGCUGGACUGGGGACAUCACAUGCAUGUGCGAGUCGUGAAAAUUAUGGAAAUAAAUCUAGGAAUUAUUUGAUUGUUGGAUUUUAAAUCAGCGGGAUUGAGGUAUCAAAAGUAACUAAGCUGUUUUAUGGAUGGUAACUGUAAUAUCAUUACUGAAAUCUUAUUAGUAAUAUCAGAUUAGUAAGAUCAGAGUUUCUAUCUCUUGGUCGGAGAAGUUCCUGUUUUUGGCCGGGUUAUGUUUUUCCAUGUCAUAAACUCUUGGGGUGAGGCUUCUAAAACGUGAAUAUUUAAGGGCGUGAUAUUCAAAUGACGACUGUUUUCAGCCACAACAUUUAUCAACAUACGAUCAUUCGUACGAUGGGAUUGGCUGCAUACGAAUGUUUCAUGAAUCACACGUGAACCUUGUCGUAAGUUAAUUUGUGUGCUCGGAUCUGCGCUUGUUUCUUUGAGAGCUGAUCACAUUUAUCAAUCUAACAAUGUAAUGUAAACACAAUCUAGUCAGUGGCCGUUUCUCAAUAUGCGUUCUUGUCUGUACUUGUGUUCUUGUGGACUUGUGAAACGUCAUCAGUCGUCGCCCAAGUACUGUUCCAAUUCAAAGUUCACAUCGAGCCAAGUACAGUUCAAAUCCCCGGAUGUGUUCUUGCUCCGCCUCCUUUAUCAAGGAUGCAUCCAGAGGUGACUUAUGUGAACUUAUGUGAACUUAAGGCAGCCUGAUAUCCCAGAAUCCAUUUCGCACCAACGGUCGAGCAGCAAUGGCGGAGGAGAGAACGCACAACUGGACUGCUGAAGAAACUUUGGCUUUAAUUGAAUGGCGGGCAGCCAACGAGAACUUGUUCACCGGGAGGCACAAUUCCUCCAAAAGUGGAUAGGAGUACUUUAUUUCCACUUCUGGUCUGGCCAUUACUGUCAAACAGGCCAAAAAGAAAUGGAACAAUCUGGAGGACAAAUACAAGGAGCUUAGGGACCCACCCACGGGAAAAGGGGUAGAGGCUGGUAGUGUGACUGCUGCUACCUGACAGUGGUACACUGCAAUGGAUGCUGCACUCAAUUAGUCCGCCCCUGGUUGUGGCAUCAAGCCUGACUGCCACUACAGGUGGCUCGGUCAGCACACCAGCUUCUACCCCCUCUGAAGAACCCAGGAGCAGCCAGCAGUCCAGAAAGAGGCACAGGGACAGCCAGGCUCUUCUAGAGUUUUUAAAAGAACAAGCAGAGAGGGAAGAAGAAAGGGAGAGACAAGCAGUGGAGAGAGAAAGGGCAGCAGCAGCCAGAGCAGACUGUUAUCUGUCUCUGUUUGAAAAAUUAGUUAAUAAAUUCUAAAUAAAUGAGCAGUUUCUAAUUCAAGCCAGGCAGUUUAUUCUUGAAAGCAACUGUCUAUUCUAUAGAUUUACAUCAAAACACAAAUAAUUAUAUACAAUUAUUUACAGUCAUGGUUAAACUUAAAAUUAUCCAGAAGAAAUACUAACAUCAACAUAUUAACAUAUACAUAUAUCUAUUCAUAGCUAUCUUACUAAACAAUUUUCAGUCUAAUGUUUUAACUUCUCUCAAAUUUCUACUGAACAUGUACAUCUGGAUAGAUUUCCUGUCUAGAUGUAGUCAUGUUCACCCAGACAUGCAGGCAGUUCUUCAGGGGAAGAGAGCUGAGCAGCAAGUCGUCCUCGCAGAUGGUUCCCUGACAGGUUCCUCUCAUCAGCUACUACAUGGGUGUCAUCCUCGCUGUCAUCUUGUUCCUGAUACUCUUCCUCUUCCUCCAGGAUAUCACCUGCUGCCACACAAAUGUUGUGGAGGAUGCAGCAGGCACCAAUCACCUUUGGAGCGAACAGAGGACAGAUCUCCAGGGCCCUUAAGAAAAUGGCACGCCAGCGCGUCUUUAGCAUUGCAAAGGCUGGCGGUAUGGGGUCACAAUUGCAACUGGAUGCUGCAGGCAUGGAUAUCCGCCAUCUCCCAGCAGAAAGUAUCCAGCUGGUGGAUACAGAGCCUGCCGAUACAUGGGUGAUCUGCGCAGGACAAGAGCAUCAUGAGGAAGUAUCCUGACAUGGCACCCAUCGAUGGCACCAGCAGCAGAGCGAAAUGCCUCAAGCCAGCCCCCACUCCCUCCAUCUCCUCUGGUUUGGGGAAAUAAAUGACUCUGUGGAGGAUGGUCAUUAUUUUCUCUACGACAUUGCGGACAGUCCUGCAAACUGUCGCUAGUGGCAUGUGAAAGAUGUCAACAGUUACCCUGUAGGACGCCCCACAGGCAAGCCAGUAUACUGUAACCAGCACUUCAAUUUCAUGGCUCCAUCCAUGGGCUUUUUGCCGGGGCAGCAUCUGGACCAUCAUGUUGAUGCUGUUCCUCGAGAGCCUGAAGGCUGAUUUUAAAUCCUCUCCUGAAAAAAACUUCACCAGGACAGGUACCUGGUCACUAAU